UUCUAUAUAUGAAAAGGUUUUAGAUUUAGAUUAAGUGUAUGGAGUUUCAAAGGGUUUUGUUUUCUAGUUAUAUGUUUAGAAGAGUAUUUGUGAUAGAUUUAUGAGUUUAGAGGGGUGUUAAUGCUAUUUUAUAUUUGUGAAGGGGCAUCUAUGAUAUUUUAGAGUUUUGGAGGAUUAUAUUUGAAAUUGCUUCUUUGUAAAUUUUUUUCUCCAAUUAAAAUCAGAUUUUAUAAAAUAUUUUUGUUCCUCCAAUUUCUUUUAUAAUUCUUCCUCUAAAAUUUAUUUUUUAAAAUAUAUUUUUAUUUAAAAAGGUAAUAUAAUUUUUUUCCUUAAAUUUAUGUG
rnacentral:lncRNA from 1 species